UGAUCCUCAAGCAAGCGUGUGUUUAUCACGCAUUUACCGUCGGUUGCUCUGCGCGUCAUGUUGUCGCGCGAUUCCGAGCAUAGACAUAUCUAGACCGAGCGUUUGCCUUUAUUUGAAAAGUGGGAAUAACGCGCAUGUAGAAAAUGAUGCAUUGUGUUUUGAGUAGAGAUGCCCGAUUCUUAAUCGAUUCUUUCCCUAACAAAUUUAGGAAAAAAGGGUUCGUGCUGCUUGCAUGUUUCAUACUUUUCGCUUUUAAAAAGAGAUGGACACUUAAUCAGAUGCUUGGAAGAAAUAAUCAAGUUGGUUGUCUCGCUUUUGCUUCUUCUAAACAUUCCAAUAUUGUCUUGUUUUAAAUACAAAAAGUGCGAAGAAUGCAAACAACACGAAUAAGCCUAUUUUUGGGGAAAGAAUCGAAUCGAUUCAGAAUCGGGCAUCUCUAGUUUUGAGACUGCGUUCUCGCUCUUUCGCGCAAGUGAUGAGCGUAUGUGUGAAAGAGGUUAUGGUUAGAGAGAUGUGAUUAAAAUUGACAUGCACAAUGGUGAAGUUCGACAUUUGUUGGAAAGAACAUUGGUCAAUUAUUCGAUUAAUUCAAUGUAGAAGAUAUGUAGUCCCAGAUUCUCGUUCUUUUAUUUCUCUUUACUAAUCUCUCUCACAUAUACACUCAUAUCAUACGCAAAUGAGAGAGAACGUAGAGUCUCAAAAGGGAGCGUCCCGAUUGACCACGGUACGAUUGGAUACAACCAACCGAUGAAAAGAAUUAUCUAGUGAAUUACUAGGUCGAACCAAUCAUUACAAUCUGUGUCCAAUUGUAUCGUGGUCAAUCGGAUCCCACCCGUCUCAAAACACAGUGCAUCUUUUUCUACGUGAACCUCUACCCCCACUUCUCGAAUGGGCUUCAAAUAGCUUAUUAAACGCUGAUUGUUUCAACUUCUUGGUAAACUACCCAACACUUAAAUCAUGUAUCUACUCCAAUUUAAAGAAAAAACGAAAACAGACAUGAUUUACUGUCAAGUAGCUUACCAAAAAGUUGGAACAAUCGGUCCUAAAGAUUGUGUGUGGUAUACAAUCGGUCCAAAGAAGGCUUCUUCUAUGUCCAGUCGUCGGGAAGCAUAUCGCAUCAAUUCGGAUAGGACAAAUUCUGUUAUCUCACAUGACAAUUAAACCAGUUCGAACGUAAACCAGUAAUAACGAUCGGUCGUUAAACAAGUGACUGUAUAGAGUGUAUAGAGUUGUACAACGGGUAUGUGGUAAUAAGACGAAACACGUGCUAUCGUCGAAUCGUACGAUGCAAUAGGAAUCAGAGCCUAACCAUGUGACAUUAUGGAAUCUGUCUAAUAUUUUUUGCUUUAUACAUUGUCAGUACGCAGUUCUUGUGCUGAAUCGACCUAUGUUAUGGAAAUCAGAACAAAUGCUUUCAAUUUGGGAGAAGAGCAAUAAACAGAUAGAAAUUGGAAUGGAAAUCACAAAA